rnacentral:rRNA from 1 species
AGUGAACGCUGGCGGUAGGCCUAACACAUGCCAGUCGAACGGCAGCACAGUAAGAGCUUGCUCUUACGGGUGGCGAGUGGCGGACGGGUGAGGAAUACAUCGGAAUCUACUUUUUCGUGGGGGAUAACGUAGGGAAACUUACGCUAAUACCGCAUACGACCUACGGGUGAAAGCAGGGGAUCUUCGGACCUUGCGCGAUUGAAUGAGCCGAUGUCGGAUUAGCUAGUUGGCGGGGUAAAGGCCCACCAAGGCGACGAUCCGUAGCUGGUCUGAGAGGAUGAUCAGCCACACUGGAACUGAGACACGGUCCAGACUCCUACGGGAGGAAGCAGUGGGGAAUAUUGGACAAUGGGCGCAAGCCUGAUCCAGCAAUACCGCGUGGGUGAAGAAGGCCUUCGGGUUGUAAAGCCCUUUUGUUGGGAAAGAAAAGCAGCAGGUUAAUACCCCGCUGUUCUGACGGUACCCAAAGAAUAAGCACCGGCUAACUUCGUG